GACGAACGCUGGCGGCGUGCUUAACACAUGCAAAUCGAACGCUGAAGCUCAGCUUGCUGGGUGGAUGAGUGGCGAACGGGUGAGUAACACGUGAGUAACCUGCCCUCUUCUUUGGGAUAACGCCCGGAAACGGGUGCUAAUACUGGAUAUUCACUGAUUCUCGCAUGGGGGUUGGUGGAAAGGUUUUUUCUGGUGGGGGAUGGGCUCGCGGCCUAUCAGCUUGUUGGUGGGGUGAUGGCCUACCAAGGCUUUGACGGGUAGCCGGCCUGAGAGGGUGACCGGUCACAUUGGGACUGAGAUACGGCCCAGACUCCUACGGGAGGCAGCAGUGGGGAAUAUUGCACAAUGGGCGAAAGCCUGAUGCAGCGACGCCGCGUGAGGGAUGGAGGCCUUCGGGUUGUAAACCUCUUUCGCUCAUGGUCAAGCCGCAGCUUUGGGUUGUGGUGAGGGUAGUGGGUAAAGAAGCGCCGGCUAACUACGUG
rnacentral:rRNA from 1 species